rnacentral:sRNA from 1 species
CCAAAAGAGGGUAAAACCAACAAAAUAUUGCUUAGAAGGAGUAAAUAGCUUUGUUAGUGUUUCUAUUGUCAAAAUUUGUCACAAUCGAAUACAUUUGACUAAUUAUAAGAGUUAGAGAUAGAUUAGGAGUGUUUAGGUAAUACUUAUACCCAUUUUCUCCCAAAACG